rnacentral:misc_RNA from 1 species
UUGAAGAAAAGAGCAGCAAAGUUGUCAAAAGCAUUGAGUGAGAAACAAGAAUUUGUUCUCAUUCUGGAUGAUUUAUGGAACUAUUUUCCUCUAAAGGAAGUGGGAAUACUUGCUCGAGAGAAAGGAUGCAAGUUGAUUCUUACAACUCGUAUGUUAGAUGUUUGUCGACAGAUGGAAUGCCAGGAAACAAUAAAAGUGAAGUCUCUGCCCGAAUUUGAAGCUUGGCAAUUGUUCCAGGAUAAGCUAGGAAAACCACUAUCCCUAGAUGUUAUGGAGAUUGCAAAAUCUAUUGCAAGCGAAUG